rnacentral:rRNA from 1 species
UGGUGGAGUGAUUCGUCUGGUUAAUUCCGUUAACGAACGAGACCUCGACCUGCUAAAUAGUCUAGUAUAGCUUCGGCUAUAUAUAGACUUCUUAGAGGGACUGUCGGUGUUUAGCCGAAGGAAGUUCGAGGCAAUAACA